UACAGAGGGUGCGAGCGUUAAUCGGAAUUACUGGGCGUAAAGCGCACGUAGGUGGCGACGUAAGUCGGGUGUGAAAGCCCCGGGCUCAACCUGGGAAUUGCAAUCGAGACUGCAUUGCUGGAGUACGGAAGAGGAGGGCGGAAUUCCCGGUGUAGCGGUGAAAUGCGUAGAUAUCGGGAGGAACAUCAGUGGCGAAGGCGGCCCUCUGGUCCAGUACUGACACUCAAGUGCGAAAGCGUGGGGAGCAAACAGG
rnacentral:rRNA from 1 species